AAAUUCGUUUCCAAAUCACCAUUUCACUUUGAGACAUUGGAGGAGAAAGUUUCACUCGAUGAUUUUUUCAAAAGUGAGCAAGAGCCCAGCGAAAAAAGAUGUGUGACGUAUCAUCUCACCUCAGUGACCACAGCUACUGGAGGACGGUGCCCAGCAGGAGACGGGACAGCACCAUCACCAACCAGUUUCUCCGGCUGUAUGUCCUGCAGGCAGCUGACCCACUGACUGUUUGUCCUCCUGCUGGUCUGGAUGAAGAUGUAUCGUUGUGGCGAUCGUGCGUUUGGUCCCACCUCGGUCCGCGCGUUACACUAAGCGAUCAGUAAGUUUGGUGUGUUAGAGGCCAGUGCGAUUAUUGAUAUGAUGAGAAGUGUGGAUCCAAGUGUGGCGUUGAAGCGUUCUGGUAUUCCUGUAAUAAUUAUCUGUAUAGUAAUUACUCUUAUUGACUAGUACUUAGCCUUUCAUGGUACCAUUUUAUAAUAAAGCCAUUUUCAGUGAAACAGGAAGCACAGAUGGAAAGCAGUGAUGUUACAGCAGC